AGUGAACGCUGGCGGUAGGCCUAACACAUGCAAGUCGAACGGCAGCACAGUAAGAGCUUGCUCUUACGGGUGGCGAGUGGCGGACGGGUGAGGAAUACAUCGGAAUCUACUUUUUCGUGGGGGAUAACGUAGGGAAACUUACGCUAAUACCGCAUACGACCUACGGGGGAAAGCAGGGGAUCUUCGGACCUUGCGCGAUUGAAUGAGCCGAUGUCGGAUUAGUUAGUUGGCGGGGUAAACGCCCACCAAGGCGACGACCCGUUGCUGGUGUGAGAGGAUGAAGCGCCCCACUGGAACUGAGACGCGGUCCAGACUCCUACGGAAGGCAGCAGUGGGGAAUGUUGGACGAUGGGCGCAAGCCUGAUCCAGCCAUGCCGCGUGGGUGAAGAAGGCCCUCGGGCUGUAAAGCCCUUUUGUGGGGAAAGAAAAGCAGCAGGUUAAUACCCCGCUGUUCUGACGGUACCCAAAGAAUAAGCACCGGCUAACUUCGUG
rnacentral:rRNA from 1 species